GAGUAAUGUCUGGGAAACUGCCUGAUGGAGGGGGAUAACUACUGGAAACGGUGGCUAAUACCGCAUAACGUCGCAAGACCAAAGAGGGGGACCUUCGGGCCUCUUGCCAUCAGAUGUGCCCAGAUGGGAUUAGCUUGUUGGUGAGGUAACGGCUCACCAAGGCGACGAUCCCUAGCUGGUCUGAGAGGAUGACCAGCCACACUGGAACUGAGACACGGUCCAGACUCCUACGGGAGGCAGCAGUGGGGAAUAUUGCACAAUGGGCGCAAGCCUGAUGCAGCCAUGCCGCGUGUAUGAAGAAGGCCUUCGGGUUGUAAAGUACUUUCAGCGGGGAGGAAGGUGUUGUGGUUAAUAACCGCAGCAAUUGACGUUACCCGCAGAAGAAGCACCGGCUAACUCCGUGCCAGCAGCCGCGGUAAUACGGAGGGUGCAAGCGUUAAUCGGAAUUACUGGGCGUAAAGCGCACGCAGGCGGUCUGUCAAGUCGGAUGUGAAAUCCCCGGGCUCAACCUGGGAACUGCAUUCGAAACUGGCAGGCUUGAGUCUUGUAGAGGGGGGUAGAAUUCCAGGUGUAGCGGUGAAAUGCGUAGAGAUCUGGAGGAAUACCGGUGGCGAAGGCGGCCCCCUGGACAAAGACUGACGCUCAGGUGCGAAAGCGUGGGGAGCAAACAGGAUUAGAUACCCUGGUAGUCCACGCCGUAAACGAUGUCUACUUGGAGGUUGUGCCCUUGAGGCGUGGCUUCCGGAGCUAACGCGUUAAGUAGACCGCCUGGGGAGUACGGCCGCAAGGUUAAAACUCAAAUGAAUUGACGGGGGCCCGCACAAGCGGUGGAGCAUGUGGUUUAAUUCGAUGCAACGCGAAGAACCUUACCUGGUCUUGACAUCCACAGAACAUUCCAGAGAUGGAUUGGUGCCUUCGGGAACUGUGAGACAGGUGCUGCAUGGCUGUCGUCAGCUCGUGUUGUGAAAUGUUGGGUUAAGUCCCGCAACGAGCGCAACCCUUAUCCUUUGUUGCCAGCGGUCCGGCCGGGAACUCAAAGGAGACUGCCAGUGAUAAACUGGAGGAAGGUGGGGAUGACGUCAAGUCAUCAUGGCCCUUACGACCAGGGCUACACACGUGCUACAAUGGCGCAUACAAAGAGAAGCGACCUCGCGAGAGCAAGCGGACCUCAUAAAGUGCGUCGUAGUCCGGAUUGGAGUCUGCAACUCGACUCCAUGAAGUCGGAAUCGCUAGUAAUCGUGGAUCAGAAUGCCACGGUGAAUACGUUCCCGGGCCUUGUACACACCGCCCGUCACACCAUGGGAGUGGGUUGCAAAAGAAGUAGGUAGCUUAACCUUCGGGAGGGCGCUUACCACUUUGUGAUUCAUGACUGGGGUGAAGUCGUAACAAGGUAACCGUAGGGGAACCUGCGGUUGGA
rnacentral:rRNA from 1 species